UACGUAGGGAGCAAGCGUUGUCCGGAAUCAUUGGGCGUAAAGCGCGCGUAGGUGGCCCUGUAAGUCCGCUCUGAAAGUCAAAGGCUCAACCUUUGAAAGCGGGUGGAUACUGCAGGGCUAGAGUCCGGAAGAGGCGAGUGGAAUUCCUGGUGUAGCGGUGGAAUGCGCAGAUAUCAGGAGGAACACCAACGGCGAAGGCAGCUCGCUGGGACGGUACUGACACUGAGGCGCGAAAGCGUGGGGAGCAAACAGGAUUAGAAACCCCCGUAGUCC
rnacentral:rRNA from 1 species